rnacentral:rRNA from 1 species
GCAGUCGAGCGGGGAAGGGUAGCUUGCUACCUAACCUAGCGGCGGACGGGUGAGUAAUGCUUAGGAAUCUGCCUAUUAGUGGGGGACAACAUUCCGAAAGGAAUGCUAAUACCGCAUACGCCCUACGGGGGAAAGCAGGGGAUCUUCGGACCUUGCGCUAAUAGAUGAGCCUAAGUCAGAUUAGCUAAUUGGUGGGGUAAAGGCCUACCAAGGCGACGAUCUGUAGCGGGUCUGAGAGGAUGAUCCGCCACACUGGGACUGAGACACGGCCCAGACUCCUACGGGAGGCAGCAGUGGGGAAUAUUGGACAAUGGGCGAAAGCCUGAUCCAGCCAUGCCGCGUGUGUGAAGAAGGCCUUUUGGUUGUAAAGCACUUUAAGCGAGGAGGAGGCUACCGAGAUUAAUACUCUUGGAUAGUGGACGUUACUCGCAGAAUAAGCACCGGCUAACUCUGUGCCAGCAGCCGCGGUAAUACAGAGGGUGCGAGCGUUAAUCGGAUUUACUGGGCGUAAAGCGUGCGUAGGCGGCUUUUUAAGUCGGAUGUGAAAUCCCUGAGCUUAACUUAGGAAUUGCAUUCGAUACUGGGAAGCUAGAGUAUGGGAGAGGAUGGUAGAAUUCCAGGUGUAGCGGUGAAAUGCGUAGAGAUCUGGAGGAAUACCGAUGGCGAAGGCAGCCAUCUGGCCUAAUACUGACGCUGAGGUACGAAAGCAUGGGGAGCAAACAGGAUUAGAUACCCUGGUAGUCCAUGCCGUAAACGAUGUCUACUAGCCGUUGGGGCCUUUGAGGCUUUAGUGGCGCAGCUAACGCGAUAAGUAGACCGCCUGGGGAGUACGGUCGCAAGACUAAAACUCAAAUGAAUUGACGGGGGCCCGCACAAGCGGUGGAGCAUGUGGUUUAAUUCGAUGCAACGCGAAGAACCUUACCUGGUCUUGACAUAGUAAGAACUUUCCAGAGAUGGAUUGGUGCCUUCGGGAACUUACAUACAGGUGCUGCAUGGCUGUCGUCAGCUCGUGUCGUGAAAAGGUUGGGGUUAAGUCCCGCAACGAGCGCAACCCUUUUCCUUAUUUGCCAGCGG